UCCCCGUGGAUUUUUCCACGGGCUAACGACUAGUCUAUAUUAUAAUAGCCGUCGUCUGUCUGUCUCUGCGCGGACCCCCCGCUGAGUCAGAAAAUGAUGUCACGGAAACACCAAUAUCAAAUGCGAUAUAUUUUUGUCUACUUUGUUGCGACGGGUAAAUUUAAGGGACGCGCGACCCCGUGGAUUUUUCGACGGGCUAACGACUAGUCUCUAUUAUAAUAGCCGUAUUCCGUCUGUCUGUCUCUGCGCGGAACCCCCGCUGAGUUAGAAAAUUAUGUCACGGAAACACGAAUAUCAAAUGCGAUAUAUUUUUAUCCACUUUGUUGCCACGGGUAAAUAUAAUGGACGGGCGAACCCGUGGAUUUUUCCACGGGCAACGACUAGUCUCUAUUAUAAUAGCCGUAUUCCGUCUGUCUGUCUCUGCGCCAACCCCCCGCUGAGAUAGAAAAUGAUGUUACGGAAACACGAAUAUCAAAUGCGAUAUAUUUUUAUCCACUUUGUUGCGACGGGUAAAUAUAAAGGACGGGCGACCCCGUGGAUUUUUCCACGGGCUAACGACUAGUCUCUUUAAUUGCGCCCCGCCGAAGGGGCGCACAUUUAGUGGACCGCGGGUAUAUAGUGUUUGUUGCGCCCCACCGAAGGGGCGCACAUUUAGUGGACCGCGGGUAUAUAGUGUUUGUGUUGUGUAUGGCAAAAAAAUUUUCCACUCUUUACUUCGCGGGGGAACUUCGGCUCGAACAUCCAACCUAGGUUUGAUAUAACACAACCUGUGUGUUUGGUACCAUCAAGACAAAAAUAACACUGAUCGAGCAAAACUUAUCUUGUCUCGGUUUCUUUGUUGUCUCUGAAGAUUUGACUGCCAUAAAAAAUAUUAAUCGAGAUUCUUUUGUUAUGUUAAUUUAAAGCUUUGUAAUAUUGUCUCGUUUAAUAUGCUUAAAUGUCACUGCAGCCCACGUGAAUUUAUCUUCAAGAAAAGGUUUGUUUUUCUUUAUCCAAGUUGUUUCGAAACUUGUUAACAGUAAGUAGAAGGAUUACUUAUAUUUUAUAUGAAAUUAAACUCAGAACGGUUUAUGGCGUUGAUCCAAAGGCCGCAAUUUAUAAAUGCAUCACAAUUUAAAGUCAAUCAAGAACAGAACAUUCCGUGUAUGGCCAUGACUAAAACUGCUUGCAUUUUGUUGGUCUUCCCUUCCCGAUGGUCUGGCUUGUCGUAAUAGCUUUAAUGAUGUAGCUAGGGAGCUAAAUAUUUAUUUUUAAAUUCUUGCAUUUUAUAAGUUAAUAGUCGUAAAACUACUCUCACUUGUACUACAGCUAUCAAGCUAGAACUGCACAAAAUAGUGCUUUCAUUAGAGUCCCUUUUUUCAGAAGCAACAAAAAACUUUUAUCCUGCCCUGUGUAAUUUUAUCAACGAGGGUGCUGAUAAGCCACAUACACCGUAAAAAGUAUAGGCGUUUUGGGUGAGUAAAAUAACUUCUAAAGGAACCUUUGUGAGGCUGCUAUCAUGUAUUCUUGCGGUCAGAAUGUUCUCCUUCGUUGCUAUCCGAUGGAGAACAAAGUGGACUUUUCACGGUCAAACCUUCAAAGUAGCAACCUUACUUAAACAGAAUUUACAAGUAAAACGUCGUUAAAAUGUCGCAAAAUGGCAAAAAUUAAGCAGUAUCUAAACCAUAUUAAAGAUUCGACUAAAAAAAAAAGAAUUCCUUGAAAAAUCCAGUAUUGUAUUUAUGAAGAUUUCACCACAAAAACAUUAAUUACGGCAUUUGUACCCCAUUUCAUAAUGGCUGCCCGUGAUUGGUUGACACAAAUCAGACCGCAAGAAUAUAUAUAAAAAGAUAUUUGUUGAAUCAUGAAAAAAUAUUGUUGUUCAUUGCACGGAACAGUCAAGUUGAACUGAUAAAUUAACCAAUAACAUAACAUAGUUAGCCCUUGCAGUACAACUAGACGCUACCCACAGUAUGUUACAGGUUUCUUUGUUUUCUUCCCUUUUUUAUGUUUUUUCUUGAAAUUAUAAAUGAUGUUGUUGAUUUAUCAAAUCUGACAAAUUUAUUAAUUGAGUGUCUACCCUUUUUUGUAUCAACUUGUUCAAUUCAAUUCGAAAACAAUGACCAAUCAAUUUCCUCGAUAAUAAACAAUCAAAUUUGUAAAAUUCAAUAAAUCGAUUUCAACAAAAUAAGUCCUGUAUUGUCCACAGGUUUGAAAAUCUUGUAUCGCCUGCUUAAUAUUAUACUUGUUUAACAAUGAUAUCAAAGCCAGCUUGACUAAAUUUAUAUAUAUAUUUUUAUUUAUAUAGUAUACCUUUUGUGUAUCACAUGGCAUUGAUUUGUAUCUUUUUAAUAAAUUCUAACUUUAAAUCAGAUAAGUAGACAAUAAUUAAACAACCUAGUAUUAAUUCAGUUCUGGUAAAAUUGUAUUCUUCUUUCUCAAUUUUAAAUAUACUUUCUUUUUCAGAUCAUUUGUUAUGAAACCAUGCACCAUCAGCAGUUUCAAAAAAUCUUCAACGAGAGAAAUUUUUAAGGAUUUUAUUGGUAACUUAACAGAGUAAUAAUUCAUUGAAAUUGAAAUUGUUCAGAAGUUAUUAUAUAUAUUCGAAUCGUGAAGUUCAUACAUAGCAAUCCUGCAUCCUGGAAUUUUCGAGAUCAGUUAUAAAAAAAUCCAGUUAAAGUUUUAACUAUUGUUUUAGAAUAUAUACUAUAUAUAUGUAAAAAAAAAAUUAUUUUUUAUUUAUCAAGUUGUAUUUUACGCAAUAAUAAUUGAGAAUUAGGAUACUUAUGAUGUGUUUAUAUACCCCAUUGUUCUCCGUUUUAAAGUCUACUUCAAAUUUCAGAAUCUUUUAGGCUAAUGACGGAAAUCUUCAAGUCGCAGGGCUUCUUAUUUAAAAAUUUUCCCCUGGGCAAUAAGCUUAUUCACAAGCCUCUAUGCAAUUCCGUACUGCAUUUCUAUCAUAUUCGUCAUAUUUGGCGGAAAAUGUUUCAGCAGAAUAGCUUUCAGACACAAUUUGUUAUUACAGCACAAGAAUUUUUGGAGAUUUGAUAAGUCAAAAAUGUAUGCGUAAGUCUUUUGAACGAAUUUUAACCAAAAAUCAAAAGCAAUGAUUACGUGAAAUUACACAACAAGAAGGCUAGAGGCGUUUAAAGUGUACAUAUAUUUAAUCAAGAUCUAACUUUAUAGAUAGAGCCUUAGCCAAAUGUGAAAAUAACGAAAAUAAUAAGUUCUAACACUGCAGUUUUUAUAGAUUUCAAACGUCCACCAUUUUCCAUUUUAAUUUUAAAUCCCGUUCUAAAUUUGAAUGUUUGAAAUCGUUAUUAGUAAUUCGGGGCGCAUUAGUGGUAACUAUGGCUAGUUUUAUGUAUGGGAGAAGUUUUUUUCUUACUCUCAACUUCGCGGGGGAACUUCGGCUCGAACAUUCAACCUAGGUUUGAUAUAACACAACCUGUGUGUUUGGUACCAUCAAGACAAAAAUAACACUGAUCGAGCAAAACUUAUCUUGUCUCGGUUUCUUUGUUGUCUCUGAAGAUUUGACUGCCAUAAAAAAUAUUAAUCGAGAUUCUUUUGUUAUGUUAAUUUAAAGCUUUGUAAUAUUGUCUCGUUUAAUAUGCUUAAAUGUCACUGCAGCCCACGUGAAUUUAUCUUCAAGAAAAGGUUUGUUUUUCUUUGUCCAAGUUGUUUCGAAACUUCUUAACAAUCAUUUGUUAUCAAACCAUGCACCAUCAGCAUUUUCGAAAAAUCUUCAACGAGAGAAAUUUUUAAGGAUUUUAUUGGUAACUUAACACAGUAAUAAUUCAUUAAAAUUGAAAUUGUUCAGAAGUUAUUAUAUAUAUUCGAAUCAUGAAGUUCAUACAUAGCAAUCCUGCAUCCUGGAAUUUUCGAGAUCAGUUAUAAAAAUAUCCAGUUAAAGUUUUAACUAUUGUUUUAGAAUAUAUACUAUAUAUAUGUAAAAAAAAUUUUUUUUUUAUUUAUCAAAUUGUAUUUUACGUUAAUUACAAUAAUAAUUGAGAAUUACGAUA